rnacentral:rRNA from 1 species
CACGUAGGGGGCAAGCGUUGUCCGGAUUUAUUGGGCGUAAAGAGCUCGUAGGUGGUUCGGUAAGUCGGGUGUUAAACCCCCAGGCUCAACCUGGGGACGCCACUCGAUACUGCUGUGACUAGAGUCCGGUAGGGGAGCGUGGAAUUCCUGGUGUAGCGGUGAAAUGCGCAGAUAUCUGGAGGAACACCGGUGGCGAAGGCGGCAUCCUGGACCAACACUGACGCUGAGGAGCGAAAGCCAGGGGAGCAAACGGG